rnacentral:misc_RNA from 1 species
GAUGAAGAACGUAGCGAAAUGCGAUAAGUAAUGUGAAUUGCAGAAUUCAGUGAAUCAUCGAAUCUUUGAACGCACAUUGCGCCCGCCAGUAUUCUGGCGGGCAUGCCUGUUCGAGCGUCAUUUCAACCCUCAAGACCCCUUCGGGGGACUUGGUGUUGGGGACCGGCACAGGGGCCUGCCUGCUUGUCUUGCAGCGCCCUCGCCGCCCCCGAAAUGAAUUGGCGGCCUCGUCGCGGCCUCCCCUGCGUAGUAGCACAAACCUCGCAACGGGAACGUGACGGCGGCCACUGCCGUAAAACAACCCAAUUUUAUUAGAGUUGACCUCGAAUCAGGUAGGAAUACCCGCUGAACUUAAGCAUAUCAAAAGCGGAGGA